UCCCUGGUGGCUCAGAUGGUAAAGCUUCUGCCUGAAGAGCAGGAGACCCAGGUUCAAUCCCUGGGUCGGGAA